rnacentral:rRNA from 1 species
ACGUAGGGGGCGAGCGUUGUCCGGAUUCAUUGGGCGUAAAGCGCGCGUAGGCGGCUCCGCAAGUCGGCCGUGAAAUCUCCGGGCUCAACUCGGAGGGGUCGGGCGAGACUGCGGGGCUCGAGGUGGGCAGAGGGCAGUGGAAUUCCGGGUGUAGCGGUGAAAUGCGUAGAUAUCUGGAGGAACACCGGUGCCGAAGGCGACGUCCUGGACCGGCAUUGACGCUGAGGCGCGAAAGCCAGGGGAGCAAACGGGA